CGUGGGCUUAAUUCUCCCCUUUUUCCCAAUUCUCUUUCUCAGCAAUGAAAGCUUUGGACCUCCCCAGCCAUCAGUCUGUUGGUCGGGUAGCUAUGGUUGCUGCUGUGAAGACUUCUUGAUUCGACGGUGUAACGAUGGCUCCACCUGAUCCUAUUCUUGGAGUUUCUGAAGCAUUCAAAGCUAGCACAAAUCAGAAGAAGCUCAACCUUGGAGUUGGGGCAUACCGGACAGAAGAACUCCAGCCAUAUGUGCUUAAUGUUGUUAAGAAGUCUGUUGGUCGGGUAGCUAUGGUUGCUGCUGUGAAGACUUCUUGAUUCGACAGUGUAGCGAUGGCUCCACUUGAUCCUAUUCUUGGAGUUCUGAAGCAUUCAAAGCUAGCACAAAUUAGAAGAAGCUCAACCUUGGAGUUGGGGCAUAGCGGACAGAAGAACUCCAGCAAUAUGUGCUUAAUGUUGUUAAAAAGAGUAAUUUCAUUCAUAUGAACUGAACCUUUCAAGGCAGUGCUCAAGUGGAACCCGAAAGUAUUGAAAAUGGUAUUGGUGUUGUGAAACUAAUGGGACACUACAGUGGACUUCUGCCGGCAAAAAUUUUGCAAACCUGCUUUCUAGAUUGCCUUCCACAACAUAUUGUCAACAAUACCCUCUAUAUUCCUGUUCAGAAUAAACUGAUUUAGGGAAAUUCUACUACUGAGAAACAAAGAGAGAUUGUCAGCAAAGGAAUAAUCAUCAGACGAAACCAGUGUUGCAGAAAAAUCUUCAAACCUAAAAGACAACAUAUCAGUUAAUAGCAGGUUGCUCAUGUAUCUUCCUACAGUUUUGUUCAUCCAAAGUCUAGCUUUGUUUCAGAAGAAAUUGCUGCUAAAAUUUUGAUCCAAGACCCAAAUCUGCAAGUUUCAACAGAAACAAUUGGUGUUCAAGAUUGGUUUGUAUCAAUAGUAUUUAUUGUCUAUACAAGCAAUUACUCUCUCAAACAAUCUUCAUAAUCUUCAAUAAUAGUAAGUUCCGUGGCAAAGCACGGGCAAAAUUUCUAGCACCAGCAAAGAACUGGUUUCUUGUACUAUUGAUACGGUGCACGAGUUGUCUCCUCUUGUGAGGAAGAAUUCCAGAUAUUUCCUUUGGAUAAGGAUUGCCUAUGUGCAUCCUCAUUGCUAAGGGUACUGUGGUGAUCAUCUUGCUGUGAGAUUAUAGUGUUAUUAUUUCAUCGUUUCUUUCGA